ensembl:rRNA 5S_rRNA 5S ribosomal RNA
GACAACAGCUAGCUCUCUGCAACUCUCACAUGGUUGCUCACUGACGCUAAGCAGGGCUGCGCCCAGUCAGUACCUGACUGGGAGACCACAUGGGAAAGCUAGGUUGCUGCUGCUA